rfam:Aspergillus oryzae RIB40 DNA, chromosome 8.
GGGCGAGUGGUUUAGUGGUAUAACAUCUGAUUUGCAUUCAGAAGGUCCCGGUUUCGAUUACCGGCUUGUCCA